GAUGAAGAACGUAGCGAAAUGCGAUAAGUAGUGUGAAUUGCAGAAUUCAGUGAAUCAUCGAAUCUUUGAACGCACAUUGCGCCCCUUGGUAUUCCAUGGGGCAUGCCUGUUCGAGCGUCAUUUGUACCUUCAAGCUCUGCUUGGUGUUGGGUGAUUGUCUAUCUUUGUAGACUCGCCUUAAAGUCAUUGGCAGCCGGCAUAUUGGCCUGGGAGCGCAGCACAAGUCGCGCUUCUUGUCAUGAAUGUUGGCGUCCAGUAAGUCUACAUAUUUUGCGCUUGACCUCGGAUCAGGUAGGGAUACCCGCUGAACUUAAGCAUAUCAAUAAGCGGAGGA
rnacentral:misc_RNA from 1 species